rnacentral:rRNA from 1 species
CCCUUAGAUGUUCUGGGCCGCACGCGCGCUACACUGACACACUCAACAAGCUUAUAACCUUGUCCGAGAGGUCUGGGAAAUCUUUGAAUAUGUGUCGUGAUGGGGAUAGAUCGUUGCAAUUCUCGAUCUUCAACGAGGAAUUCCUAGUAAACGCAAGUCAUCAGCUUGCAUUGAAUACGUCCCUGCCCUUUGUACACACCGCCCGUCGCACCUACCGAUUGAAUGGUCCGGUGAAAUCUUCGGACUCUGUGUUUAUUGAUUCGUUUCAAUUUACUACUGGAGAAAGUUGAGUAAACCUUACCAUUUAGAGGAAGGUGAAGUCGUAACA